AACGGCAAUUUGUUAAGCCGUUUGGGGAAUCGCUCGGCUCGAGCGCCGAAGAAGGUCGUGUCAAGCUGCGAAAAGCGCCGGGUAGGUGCAAGAAGCCAAUGAUCCGGUGACCGCCUAAUGGGACUUCCUUGUCUUCGGACAGAUCCGGAAGGAUCGGGAACGCGGGGGAUCGAAACAUCCUAGUACCCGCAGGAAAAGAAAUCAACCGAGAUGCCGUCAGUAAAGGCGAUCGAACGCGGCACAGGGUAAACCGAAUGCCCCUUCGAAAGGAGGGGUAGAUGUGGUGUUGUUGGACUCAGGUACUUCCUCCUCGGUGAAUCAGAAGUCGACUGGAACGUCGCACCAUAGAGGGUGAUAGUCCCGUAGGAGCAAACUGAGUAGAAGAUUCUGAGUAUCCAGAGUACCGCGCGUUGGAUAUCGCGCGUGAAUCCGGGGGACACUUACCUCCAACCCUAAAAACGUCUCGAGACCGAUAGCGCAAUAGUAGCGCGAGUGAACACUGAAAAGUACCCUUGACGGGAGGUCAAAAGAGCGUGAAACCAGACGGCUAUAUUCAGAUACGGCAUGAAAGGGACGAAGCCGCAAGGCUGACCAGUGUCGUAUCGUCCGUUUCGAAUAACGGGCCAGGGAGUUCUGAUCGAUGGCGAGACUAAGGUCGAAGGACCGGAGUCGGAGGGAAACCGAAGGUCCGCAACGCCGCAAGGCGCCAGGGACUAGGUGCGCUCGCCUGGAGUCAUCGGUGGGAUACCCGAAGCCAGUUGAUCUAUGCCUGGAUAGGUUGAAGCCUCUCGAAAGGGAGGUGGAGGACCGAACCGGUAAUGAUGUGCAAAUCUUUCGGAUGAUCUGGGCAUAGGGGUGA
rnacentral:rRNA from 1 species